AAAGUACCUGGACUUCUAUGCCCAUGCUUCUAGCAGCCAGCCUCCUAAAAUACCUCUAGUUGAAGCCAAAGUUAGAAUCCUUCUAUGAAACUACAGGAUUAAAAUGGGAUGGUUACAUGACCCAGGCUUGACCAAUCAGAUCAUCCAAACCCUUUGCCACAGUGAUUGGUCCAGGGAUACAUGCAUGAGCCAGCUCAGGUGGCAUUGUAUUAUGCACCAAGAGUGAACCAGAUAGAGGAAGUUGCUCCUUAAGCUUGCAGGUCUGAAAGAACAGGGAAUUAUCUCUCUUCAAAGGCCUAAACCACACUCAUCUUGUGGAUGACACUGGAGCUGUGACAGUCUGUUCUGUCCAGGCUGGGUGUCUUUUAUUUUUACUGGAAAUAAGAUUAUCACAGCCAGACCCAGAGCCCCAACCCUGGUACACCAGUUAAGAAGGCCACAUUUACAGGAAAGAAGAAAAACUGUUCUGCCCAGUUCCUGGCUAUUACACCACUGAGGGCUUUUCUUGUCUCUAACUUUCAGAGUGCAAGUCCAUUUCACUUACAGAUUCCCUCAUCUGGCUAAGUAGUGUCCCAAAUACAAACAAUGAAAACAGCAUGGAAAAA
rnacentral:antisense_RNA from 1 species